GGAGCCGUAGGGAAACCGAGUCUUAAUAGGGCGUAUAGUUGCUGGGAUUAGACCCGAAACCGGGCGAUCUAUCCAUGGGCAGGUUGAAGAUGCGGUAACACGCAUUGGAGGACCGAACCGACUACCGUUGAAAAGUUAGCGGAUGACCUGUGGAUCGGAGUGAAAGGCUAAUCAAGCCCGGAGAUAGCUGGUUCUCCCCGAAAGCUAUUUAGGUAGCGCCUCGGAUGAAUACCUACGGGGGUAGAGCACUGUUUGGGCUAGGGGGUCAUCCCGACUUACCAAACCCAUGCAAACUCCGAAUACCGUGGAGUGCAAUCAUGGCAGACAGACGGCGGGUGCUAACGUCCGUC
rnacentral:rRNA from 1 species